GACCCUGGCUCAGGAUGAACGCUAGCUACAGGCUUAACACAUGCAAGUCGAGGGGAAACGACAUCGAAAGCUUGCUUUUGAUGGGCGUCGACCGGCGCACUGGUGAGUAACGCGUAUCCAACCUGCCCACCACUUGGGGAUAACCUUGCGAAAGUAAGACUAAUACCCAAUGAUAUCUCUAGAAGACAUCUGAAAGGGAUUAAAGAUUUAUCGGUGAUGGAUGGGGAUGCGUCUGAUUAG
rnacentral:rRNA from 1 species